CAGGAGAUAGUUAAAAUAGAAUUUUGGCCUUGGGUGCCAAAGGUGGGGAUUAAAAAUUUCCCUCUUCUGA
rnacentral:tRNA from 1 species